GAUGAACGCUAGCGGGAGGCUUAACACAUGCAAGUCGAGGGGCAGCACGAGGUAGCAAUACUUUGGUGGCGACCGGCGCACGGGUGAGUAACGCGUAUGCAACCUACCCUGUACAGGGGGAUAACCCGGAGAAAUUCGGACUAAUACCCCAUAAAGAUAUUUAGAGGCAUCUUUGAAUAUUUAAAGUUCCGGCGGUACGGGAUGGGCAUGCGUAACAUUAGCUAGUUGGUAAGGUAACGGCUUACCAAGGCAACGAUGUUUAGGGGUCCUGAGAGGGUGAUCCCCCACACUGGUACUGGGACACGGACCAGACUCCUACGGGAGGCAGCAGUGAGGAAUAUUGGUCAAUGGGCGCAAGCCUGAACCAGCCAUCCCGCGUGAAGGAAGAAUGCGCUAUGCGUUGUAAACUUCUUUUCCAGGGGAAUAAAAUUUUGUACGUGUACGGAAUUGAAGGUACCCUGGGAAUAAGCAUCGGCUAACUCCGUGCUAGCCGCCGCCGUAACAC
rnacentral:rRNA from 1 species